CUAGCUAAUUGAAAUCACAAAAUCACAAAUAGUGGUAAUUGUGAUAACGUAAGGAAAAAAAUUGAUAUUACCUUACUAUAAGUGUUGUCUAAAUAACUGGUGACAGAAGACUCGGUAACACCAGAAACGCGAACGUUAGUCGUCUUAAACAGGCGUAAAGGGUAAGUAGGCUGCUUUAAAUAUCUAAAUUAAUAUAAGCUAAUUAAUAAUUUUGAACAUAAAUUUUUUCAUAUUAAAUAUAUAGAUUGCUCGCUAGCUAUUGCAAGUUACUUACUUUCGUAAGUAAGUGAUUUACUUAGCAUCUUUAUUUUUAUCUAAAAUAAAGAUAAAAAUUGCUAGCUUCGCAAGCCAGUAAGCAGCUAUAAAUAACACACUAAAAAUGGAAAUUAUUGUAACAAAGUAAUUGCUUCGCUAUAAAUAUAAAUUAUUAUUUUCAAUUAAAAUAGAUUCAAUUAAAGCUAGAAUCAUAAUUGAGAUAAACCAAAUAAUACUUAAGUGUAAGGGCGAUAUCUGAAAAUACUAAGUAGAAUACUAACGGUGAAAACUUUUUAUCUAGGAAUGAUUGACGCUGAGGUACGAAAGUGAGAACAGGGAAUAGGAUUAGAUACCCAGUUACCUCUCACCGUCAACGAUGGGUGGUAGUUGUUAAUUUAUUAAAAUUAGUGACGAUGUUAACGCGAUAACCAUCCCGCCUUGAGAGUACGAUUGCAAAAUUGAAACCAAAAAAAUUAGUCGGUUCUACGGAGCAA
rnacentral:rRNA from 1 species